CAGUCGCCGCGGUAAUACGAAGGGUGCAAGCGUUAAUCGGAAUUACUGGGCGUAAAGCGUGCGUAGGCGGUGAGUUAAGUCUGCUGUGAAAUCCCCGGGCUCAACCUGGGAAUGGCAGUGGAUACUGGCUCGCUAGAGUGUGUCAGAGGAUGGUGGAAUUCCCGGUGUAGCGGUGAAAUGCGUAGAGAUCGGGAGGAACGUCAGUGGCGAAGGCGGCCAUCUGGGACAACACUGACGCUGAGGCACGAAAGCGUGGGGAGCAAACAGGAUUAGAUACCCCCGUAGUCCUGUCUCUUAUACA
rnacentral:rRNA from 1 species